GAUGAAGAACGCAGCGAAACGCGAUAAGUAAUGUGAAUUGCAGAAUCCAGUGAAUCAUCGAGUCUUUGAACGCACAUUGCGCCCGCCAGCAUUCUGGCGGGCAUGCCUGUUCGAGCGUCAUUUCAACCCUCGACCUCCCCUUGGGGAGGUCGGCGUUGGGGACCGGCAGCACACCGCCGGCCCUGAAAUGGAGUGGCGGCCCGUCCGCGGCGACCUCUGCGCAGUAAUACAGCUCGCACCGGGACCCCGACGCGGCCACGCCGUAAAACACCCAACUUCUGAACGUUGACCUCGAAUCAGGUAGGACUACCCGCUGAACUUAAGCAUAUCAAUAAGCGGAGGA
rnacentral:misc_RNA from 1 species